rnacentral:rRNA from 1 species
GACGAACGCUUUCUUCUUUCUUAACACAUGCAAGUCGAACGGAAAGGCCUCUUUCGGGGGGUACUCGAGUGGCGAACGGGUGAGUAACACGUGAGUAACCUGCCCUUGACUUUGGGAUAACUUCAGGAAACUGGGGCUAAUACCGGAUAGGAGCUCCUGCUGCAUGGUGGGGGUUGGAAAGUUUCGGCGGUUGGGGAUGGACUCGCGGCUUAUCAGCUUGUUGGUGGGGUAGUGGCUUACCAAGGCUUUGACGGGUAGCCGGCCUGAGAGGGUGACCGGCCACAUUGGGACUGAGAUACGGCCCAGACUCCUACGGGAGGCAGCAGUGGGGAAUAUUGCACAAUGGGUGGAAGCCUGAUGCAGCAACGCCGUGUGCGGGAUGACGGCCUUCGGGUUGUAAACCGCUUUCGCUCAUGACGAAGCUUUGUGUGACGGUAGUGGGUAAAGAAGCACCGGCUAACUACGUG